rnacentral:pre_miRNA from 1 species
AGUAGAAUUGCUGGGCCAUAUGGAAAGUCUAUGUUUAGCCAUUUGAAGAACUACCAAACUGUUUUCCAAAGUGGCUGUACCAUUUUACAUUCCCACCAGCAAU